rnacentral:lncRNA from 1 species
UGUCUGAUAUGAACUUGGCGGUGGCUUUGCAAUACAAUGGCAAUACACUACGGAUGGUUCAGUAGUGCCAGGUGAUGCUUUCUUUUAUGGUCGUUCUACCAGUUUAUUUCUGCAUUUUUCCAAUCUGUUAAUUAGCAUCGUUAAAUGUAUAGCGUAUUGAAUAUUUUUGUCUUUUGAUGUUUCAAUAAAAGGACUUAUUUAUUCAUGGUUUGUUAUUUCCUUGAGCAGAUCUAAUUCUUUUGAAGAUGUUUUAUGAAAAUAUUAAAAAAUACAUGGAUGAUAAAGAAUCAAUUACGUUUAUAACCACUUCGAUAUUUUACUCGAGCAUACAACCACUCCACCAUUUGGUAUUGCCCGUUGCAAUCACAUCUGCCAAAUCCUGCAAAAAUCCUAGAUUGACUGAAGGUGGAAUACAAGACAAGCAACAUCUGUGAGAGUUUAAACAACGUGUUACAGAAAAUGCGACAAACUCCACAGGUAUUCUAUGAUAUUCCGAUCUCAAUAAUAUCAUCUGAAUGAAUAUAUUUUUUGGUAAUUUUUUUUAAUAAUAUCAUCUCAUUUAUAAUAAUUUUUUUCAUAUGCAGUUGACAUGUGCCUUAUCUAUCAUUGGCUAUUGUAUGACGAUAGUCAAUAAUAGAUCUAAGAGUCACAUUUACAACACAUACAUUGUAUGGCAAAGCUAGGUUACACAUUAGUCGAUAUCUGAUCCAAGUGGGCCAUUUUAAGGUAGUCCAAACCAGUACUGGUUUUGGUUGCAAGGUGACCGGGAGCGCAUAACUAGACUUGUCGACAUCUUAAUGCAGACAUACAAUUGUGGUGAAUGGCAGGUAACCGGGCUUCCUUGCAGACAUGCAACUUGGGGCUUGUUGCAUUCUACGGUCAUCACAAAUGUUUCUUGAUACUAUCGUGUUGAGUGUCUUAUGGAUACCUAUAAGUAUGGUAUCGAGCCAAUUAGAGACAUGAGAUUUUGGCCCCUUGUAUCUGAUAUGAUUGAUGUCCUACCUCCAAAUUAUGGUCGUAGAGCAGGUCAACCUAGGGUAAGAAGAAUGCGAACAGCAAGGGAGCCACUACUUAGAAGGCAAUCUACACCUAGGUGUUUCACAUGUGAUGUAUCUGGUCACAACCGAGCCUCAUGCGCUCAUUUGUAAGUCUUACAUUACAAGAAAAUAGGAAAACAGCCACGGCUAAGUUCACUGACUAAUUAGUAAAAUCCGUGGCUAUUUAGCCACGGGAAUUAACCACGGGAGUGGCCGUGGUUGUAGAUCUGGUGGCUACUGCUUUUUAGCCUGGAAUUGAUUUUCCGUGGCUAAAUAUUAGCCACGGUCAUUUGAUUUAACCACGGAUUGUGCCGUGGCUGUUUUUGGUAAUCGAUAAUCGGUAAAUUUUUUUAAAAAUUAACCACGGCAUAAAUCAGUGGUUAUUUAUUUUUGGUCGUGGUUAAUUUUUUGAAACAGAAAAAAGUGAAGGGCCACGGUCAAAAUCAGUUGCUAAUUUUUCGACCGUGACUAAUUAUUUUUUAGUUUAUUAGAAAAAAAUUAAAUGGUGAAAGAUGCCUAUAUUAUAAGGUCUUACACAUUCAUAUAUAUAACCUGAAAUUAAAAUUCAUUCACAUAUUCAUACAAUCUGAAAUUAACAUUCAUUUACAAAUAUCAAUUCAUAUAUCAAUUCAUACAUUAAUCCAUAAGUCUAAACUUAAAAAACAACAUCCAAAUACAUAUGAUCAUAUAACAUCCAAAAAAUAUUAAAAAACAUAUAAAUACCAAAAGACUGAUUGCCUCUGCAAUUGAAUGCUCACAGUUCACUUUGCAGUAAGAUAUUAUAAGAUCUUGAGCACUGGUGAUGUAAAUAUUGUUGGUGUUGCAAUCAGGGUGCCACAAUAAAUGAUCUUCGAAAGAGGUAACUAGUUCACCUGGAAAGUUCCACACAAAGAUUGCACGAUUCUGAAAUGUCAAAAAUAAUUAAUUUUCAUAUAAGAAAAUAUAAUUCAUCUAAUAUCAAUGGAAAAUUAUAACAAAAAUAUAAAACAAAUUCAAAAUUAAAGAUAUUUAAUUGCAUUGUUUAAAUCGGAUGAAUACAAAAAUAUCAUGUAACAUGGCUAGUGUUAAAAUAAGGUAAGACUAAUUGUAUUUGUAAAACUGAGAAACAAGGUUUUCGAAAAGAAACUAGAUAUACAAAAAGUGGGCAAAGAUUUACAAGAGAAGCAUAAAAAGAGAAAUUAAGGCUUACCUAAUCUUGAUUUCUUGAACAUUCUUACCUGAUAUAGAGUACAACAACUUGUAAUUUUUUAAGUCAAACACCUUGUAUAUGCUAAAAUCAAAAGAAACAUGCAAAUUUAAGAUCACAUAAUAUAAAUAAAAGAUAAUACAGAAUUUUACAUUUCAUAUCCAAAAUAUUUACCUAUCCUGAGUUGAAAAUGUAAGAACUUUCCCAUUCACAUCAUCGAAUUCUACAAAACCUGGUCACUUCAGAGAUUCUGAUUGAAAUAGAGAAAUCAAGAACAAGUCCAAUGAAAUCAAGAAAACAACAACAAAAUCCCAAUUUUAUUCGUUCACCUGCUAACUGACCUGUAAAACAAUAUGCUGAAACCUCUCCUGGGAACUACUUGUGCUAAACGAACGAUCCUUUUUCGAACAAGUCUCCCUCCUCUGCAACUUCUUGACGCUAUUUAGGAACCCAUCACGACCACAUGCUCCUUGGGAUUUCAUCCUAUAGCCGAAACCCUCCGAUGGCAGCAAGGCAUGGGACUCACAGUGAUUCGUUUCCACAUCGAGGAACACUUAGGAGUCUUCCCAUCCUCUGACCGGAUGGAAGUAUCGCCCUCGCCAGACUAGAGUGUCCACCUAGCCUCUGGUCACCGUAUCACGGUAUUACUAGUCCAGACUCGCUGCUCGCCAGAAAUCGAAGUUGGAAUCGCCGGAAGUGGGGGUGGGAGAAAAACACGAUUUGGGUGAAGAAACAAAGUUAACUUUUGGGUGGAAAAAAACACGACUUGUUUAAUUUAGGGGUUUUGGUUUAUUUACAAUUUUUGACUUAACAUGUUAACAAUUUUAUAUUUUUAUAAUUUUUGACAUAACUAUAAUUUUAAAGUUUUGGGUAUAACUAUAAUUUUAAGGUUUUGGGUACAACUAUAAUUUUAUAAUGUAAAUUUUUCUAACAUAGAAAUAUUAUUUAGUAUAAUUAUUUUUGAUAAUUUAAUAAGAUAUAAUUAUUUAGUUAUGAAAUUAGACUUUUUAUAUUAGGAAGUGAUAUUUUUAUAAUUUUUAAAAAAUAAUUAGUUGUUAAUUUUUUAACUUUUUAGGAUUUAUAAUUUAAAAUAAUUUUUAUAAUUGAAUUUAUAACUUUCAAAAAACCUUUUUAAAUUUAAUUUUUCACUUUAAAAUUUAAAAUAUCUUUUUUUUUUUAAAUUUAAAAUAUCUAAAAUAACUAUAAUUUAUAACUUCUUUAAUUUUUUAUAAUUUAAUAUAAAGUUAUUUUAUAAGUUUUAAAAUAUCUAAUUUAUUAAAUUGAAUUUUUGAAUUUAAAAUUUAUUAAAUUAGACUAACCCUAACCUACUAAAGUUAAUAUUUGAAAUUGAUAUUUAAAAAAAAAUAAUUAGUUGUUAAUUUUUAACUGUUUAGGAUUUAUAAUUUAAAAUAACUUUUAUAAUUAAAUUUAUAACUUUAAAAAUUAAAAUACCUUUUUUAAAUUUUAUUUUAUUUUUAACUUUAAAGUUUAAAAUAUCUAAAAUAACUUUUAAUUUAUAAUAUUUAUAAUUUAAAAUAAAGUUAGUUUAUAAUUAAAAAAGUCAUAACACUAUAUAUCACUAAUUAACACUAUCUAUCUCUAACACUAUAAUCUAACUUCUUCUAACCCUAACUUUUAACCCUUCUAAUCCUAACUUCUAACCCUAAGACUAUCUACAUAUGUAUAUAAACUUAUUUUUAAUUAUUUUUUAAUUUUUUGUUAAUUUCUAUUAACCCUAACCCUAAUUUUAUACAUUUACAUACACACAUAUAUAAAUGCAGUGGCUAAUAAUUACAAAAUAUCAGUGGCUAAUUUAAUUGUCACUAAAUUAGCCACCGCUCUUUCAAAUCCGUGGCAAAAUAUGAGGGAAAAAAUGGAGGGGAUUUUUGUCGGGAUAUUUAGCCACGGAUUUUUACAUCUGUGGCUAAAUAUUCAAAUUAGCCACGAGCUUAGCUACGGCUAAAAAUGCCGUGGCUAAUAUUCAACAAUUAAUCGUGGCUUUUGCUAGUCGUGGUUAAGCCCGUGGGCAUAGCCCUGUUUUUUUGUAGUGUUAUUAUUUGUAAUGUAUGAUUUAAUUUAUGAUUAAAUUUUUAAUUAUGUGUUUGAAAUUUAAAUCGCAGGCUUCAACUAGGGUUGUUUAUCAACGAACCAACCGAAGCAACACGAAAUGGAAAAGCGAAGGAAGUUCAGAUUGGAAAGAGGAAGGGGAAGGGAAAGGUUAGGGAUCUUGCUUCAGUCGUUGUCGAUAUAAUAUUUCGUACACCAGCAAAGAAUCCAGCUAGCUGAGGCUAGUAGCCCCGUUCCAUGGAAAUCGACUACACGCAAUUCAAGAUCCACAUUCGAACAUGCAGAUCAAAUUUCCAUGGACUUGGGAAUUGAAGAAGAGGAACUCGAGGACCAUGUCUCUUUUUGGACAAACAUUCUCUAUCCUUUUCCACACAUGUGGUGGAAUCAUCGGUCAUGAUCAAUUUUCACGACAUAAGAUUGUCGCGAUCGAGGCUCAUAAAUUUCUGUCGUAAUUCUUCAUUAACCCCGUUGGUCUUAGGAGCCAUUCAGGAAUAGGCUGAAUGACAGUAAUCAUUAAAAUUAAUAUAUCUUCAAAAGAACCUAAAUUAUAUCGACAAUUAAAAAUAGUCAAAAAUAAAACCUCGU